rnacentral:rRNA from 1 species
UACGAAGGGUGCAAGCGUUACUCGGAAUUACUGGGCGUAAAGCGUGCGUAGGUGGUUAUUUAAGCCUGUUGUGAAAGCCCUGGGCUCAACCUGGGAAUUGCAGUGGAAACUGGAUAGCUAGAGUGUGGUAGAGGAUAGCGGAAUUCCUGGUGUAGCAGUGAAAUGCGUAGAGAUCAGGAGGAACAUCCGUGGCGAAGGCGGCUAUCUGGACCAACACUGACACUGAGGCACGAAAGCGUGGGGAGCAAACAGG